GGAGAGCAACACAAAAAAAUAAAAAGGGGAGGGGUUCGGCUAGGGGCUGGCCGAAACCAGCCCCUCAAAUUUGAUCAUGGGGGAUUAUUUUCUUUUAGUUUUCUUGCUAUGUGGAAGGUGCUCUUUAACAUGGUGGAAUUGUUGGACCAAAUAGAACGCUUAUAUGGAUGAUUCAUAAGUCUUAACCAAGUGGAGAAGUUGAAGAAUGAAGAUUGACAAGUUGGAUGAACAAGUGUAACGAGUUGGUCGCGACUCAGGUACUCCCAGAUGAGUUGAAGACAUUAUAGAAGACGUUCCAGCGAAGAUGGCAAACUCCAUUUGCUCCUGGAGGACUGCCGAGUCAGAAGUAUAUGUGAUAUGGUUUCUGGUUAAUGUUAGAGACUUUGCAGACAGAGUCGUGGGUAUAGUAUGUCAGUUCUGUAAGCGGCUACAUCAGCCGAUGUGUCAGUCUGUAUUAUAACAUGAAUUCUAUAUAAUUACAGAUUUUGUUGA